rnacentral:rRNA from 1 species
UAACUGGUCUGAGAGGAUGGUCAGUCACACUGGAACUGAGACACGGUCCAGACACCUACGGGUGGCAGCAGUCGAGAAUAAUUCACAAUGGACGCAAGUUUUAUGGUGCAACGCCGCGUGGAGGAUGACGGUCUUAGGAUUGUAAACUCCUGUCAUCUGGGAGAAAGACCUGGCGAUUAAUACUCGACAGGGUUGAUAGUACCACAAGAGGAAGGGACGGCUAACUUCGUGCCAGCAGCCGCGGUAAUACGAAGGUCCCGAGCGUUAUUCGGAAUCACUGGGCGUAAAGGGAGCGUAGGCGGCGCGGUAACUCGGAUGUGAAAUCCCGGGGCUCAACCCCGGAACUGCAUCUGAUACUGCCGUGCUGGAGUUCUGAAGGGGGAGACUGGAAUUCCU